rnacentral:rRNA from 1 species
UUGAAAGGGAAACGAUUGAAGUCAGUCGUGCUGGCGCGAAAUCAACCUUCUCGUCUCGAGAUCACAUGGCGUGGCGAACCUCAAAACCGUCACGAAGCGUGAACUCUUGGUGAAAUGGAGCACUUUCGUGUCCGCUGGUUAACAUCAAUUUCGAACGUCAUAAAAAGGCUGGAGGGAUGUGGCUCCUUCGGGAGUGUUAUAACCUUUAGCGGAAUGUGGUGUUCGGGAUUGAGGAUUGCAACGAAUACCUUUAGGGCUGUUCCACCUGGCUUCUCUUUGGUAUCCUGGUGACGACAGCUUGCUGACGUCGUUAGGAUUCGCCUUUGAACAGGCUAGAGUGUGAGCAAAUUCGUUAAGGAUGUUGACGUA